UUGUACAUGUAUGUAUACAACGCAGCAGUGCAAUGGUGUUAUGAGGUAUACAGCUGUUUGGUACGCGUACAAUGAUGUUACACAACGCAGUAGCUGCCAAGUCCUGAAUAUCGUUUAAGCCUCUUAGUUUUGAUUUUUUUUUUUUAAUUGUUAGUUGUUUAAUACUUUUGUCAAUUACCGACGACCACGUACUUAUCAAAAUGAAUGCACCGUUGCGCUACGCAUUAAUCACAGGAGACGUUCUGGAGACAACUAUUGGCGUGACGGGAUUGACCAUUGCUGCCACUGCAACGGGUUGGGGCAUACCGUCGAUGGCGGCCACGGGAGCGGCCAUUAGCGUUUACAAAGUGCUUAAACUCAUAUUGAGGAUACGCAGGAGAUGGGCGUAAAACCGCUGGAAAAUUCGAAUAAUGUAGUUUUGUAAUUUGUGCGUGUAAAAAGAAAGAAAACAAAAUUGACCAUAAGCGGAUACCGACCAAAACGAGGAACUCGGUUUUUAGAUAUAUAACAUUAUUAUCUACUAUCUGUUUGUACAUGUAUAAUAUUAUAACAUGUACGUUUCGUUGUAAAUAUAGUUGAAUAUGUAUAAUAAUAAUAAUAUUAUGAUUUU